UGACAAAUGCCUUUUACUACUGUGCCAUCUUGCUGACUGCUCAUUGUCACUUUAAGUUUUUAAAGACUUCCGUCAGGAUUUCUUCUUACGAUUGACUUACGAAUUGCUUCAAGGAGAGCUUUAACAUCAACAGGCUUCCCUCAAGCUUUGAGAGAUACAGGGAUACCCCCUGACCACUUGGCCAUGGCAAACAAUGGACAGAGUUGCUGUGGUCAUGGUGUCUUUACACAGCAACAGAAACCUAAGCAAGACAGACAUCAACUGGUUGUGACCAGGGGACACAGAUUCUGUCUCAUGAGAGGAAGAAAUAAUCAUGAUC
rnacentral:lncRNA from 1 species